rnacentral:rRNA from 1 species
UCUAUGAGGAGUUUAGCUUGCUAAUGGACUCAUGGCGGACGGGUGAGUAACGCGUAAAGAACUUGCCCUUUAGACUGGGAUAACAGAGGGAAACUUCUGAUAAUACUGGAUAAGUUAGUAUAUCGCAUGAUAUGCAAAUGAAAGCUACGGCACUAAAGGAGAGCUUUGCGUCCUAUUAGCUAGUUGGUAAGGUAAGAGCUUACCAAGGCGAUGAUAGGUAGCCGGCCUGAGAGGGUGGACGGCCACAAGGGGACUGAGAUACGGCCCUUACUCCUACGGGAGGCAGCAGUGGGGAAUAUUGGACAAUGGAGGGAACUCUGAUCCAGCAAUUCUGUGUGUGUGAAGAAGGUUUUAGGACUGUAAAACACUUUUAGUAGGGAAGAAAAAAAUGACGGUACCUACAGAAGAAGCAACGGCUAAAUACGUGCCAGCAGCCGCGGUAAUACGUAUGUUGCGAGCGUUAUCCGGAAUUAUUGGGCUUAAAGGGCAUCUAGGCGGUAAGACAAGUUGAAGGUGAAAACCUGUGGCUCAACCAUAGGCUUGCCUACAAAACUGUUGAACUAGAGUACUGGAAAGGUGGGUGGAACUACACGAGUAGAGGUGAAAUUCGUAGAUAUGUGUAGGAAUGCCGAUGAUGAAGAUAACUCACUGGACAGAAACUGACGCUGAAGUGCGAAAGC